GUCACCAAAACAAUCUGCCAACAACAUCCAGGGCAUCUGGUGGGCAAGCCAAUGGAGCAGGAGCAGGACCCAAAAAGACCACAUCACCAAACACAUCAUGUGAAUUCUACAAUACAUAUACAAAUGUAUAUGCACCAGUUGUCAUUGACAGCAGUUCCUCAGAUGUUGAGGAAGUCGACUACUCUCAGGUGGAAGACAGAGAGCAAGUUUUUGGACUGACUGCUGCUGACGUUUUGUCAAAUCUGUCAGAAGCUAUUGACACGAGCAACUGCAGCAGGUUCAACAUCAACCGUGCCAAUGUCUGGGAUGGUGCUCUGAGGGGAUUUAAGCGGUCCUCGUUUGACCCCACCGGUAGCCUUUUGGUGAAAUUCACAGACGACAUCGGGCAGACUGAGGACGCUGUUGACACAGGAGGGCCUACGCGGGAAUUCCUCACACUGUUGAUGGAUGCCAUUAAAAACAGGCUUUUUUUUUAAGGCAGGGAAGAUGGCAAAUACCUGUCAUUUGACAGCAAAGCUGCAGAUGGUGAUGAGUACUUCCAUGUUGGAAGAAUGGUGGCCAUGUCCAUUGUUCAUGGUGGUCCAGGGCCUCGUUGCUUUUCCGAGAACUUCUACCACUACCUAGUGGGUAAGGUGAAGACUAUUGAGGCCCCAAUUGCAGACAUACCUGAUCCUGAACUCAGGAAUGUUCUACUUCAGAUUAAGAAUACAACAACUUUGGAAGAACUCUUGGAACUUGCAGAUAAGCACGCUAGCAUGCUUCAGACAGCAGGAUGCUAUUGAUGCCUGAGGACACUGGAGGAUAAGGAACAAGUUGUGAAUGAUUACAUCCAGUGGUAUUUCACCUACCGCAACCAUGUUUCCUUCCAGAGGUUCAAGGACGGCCUGGCUACCCUGAACCUUUUCAAUGCUCUGGAACAACAUCCCUCCCUGUUCCUGCCCUACUUGGUUUACAGCGCGGAAGACCUGAAAGCAGAGACUCUAGAGGCGCUGUUCCGUCCACAAAUGAGCCCAACUGGUAGCUCAAACCGCCAGGAGGAGGAGAGAGUGCUUGGCUACUGGCUGGACUACUUAAUCGCUGUAAAAGAGGAAGCAUCUGGGCUGUCCCUGCAGGACGUUCUGAUGUUUGCAACAGGCCUAAAAGAAAUCCCAGCAGCAAAAUUAACACCACAGCCUCAACUCACAUUCCAGAAACACUCAAGGUUUGCUGAGGCUAAUGUCUGCUCAAACACAUUGAAACUCCCGAUAUUACCCUCAUAUGAGAUGUUUGAGGAAGCCAUGAGUUAUGGAAUUAGGAACUCCCCUGGAUUUGGUCUCUUUUGAGGUGUUAAGACCAUUUAUCAGACAUGCAACUGUUUUAACCUGCAUUUCAAAGUUCAUUUUGCAGUGGCUGUUAGUUUGUCACGGUCUGUACAUAUAAAGCUAUAACAUUGUUUAAA